CAAUAGCGUAUAUUUAAGUUGUUGCAGUUGAAAAGCUCGUAGUUGGAUUUCGGGUGGGACGCAGCGGUCUCGCAUUGCGUUUGUACUGCUGCAGCCCUCCUUCUUGCCGGGGGCGGCCUCUCGGACUUCACUGUCUGGGGGUCAGAAUCGGCGAUGUUACUUUGAGUAAAUUAGAGUGUUCAAAGCAAGCUUACGCUCUGAAUAUAAUAGCAUGGGAUAACACGACAGGACUCUGGCCUAUCGUGUUGGUCUAUAGGACCAGAGUAAUGAUUAAGAGGGACAGUCGGGGGCAUUCGUAUUCCGUUGUCAGAGGUGAAAUUCUUGGAUUUACGGAAGACGAACAUCUGCGAAAGCAUUUGCCAAGGAUGUUUUCAUUGA
rnacentral:rRNA from 1 species